GGUUACUGCUAUCGAGGUUCGACUAAGCCAUGCGAGUCGAAUGUAGCAAUACAUGGCGAACUGCUCAGUAACACGUGGACAACCUGCCCUUAGGUUGGGUAUAAACCCGGGAAACUGGGUAUAAUACCCGAUAGGUCUCGAUUGCUGGAAUGCAUCGAGAUUUAAAGCUCCGGCGCCUAAGGAUGGGUCUGCGGCCUAUCAGGUAGUAGUGGGUGUAGCGUACCUACUAGCCUACGACGGGUACGGGUUGUGAGAGCAAGAGCCCGGAGAUGGAUUCUGAGACACGAAUCCAGGCCCUACGGGGUGCAGCAGGCGCGAAAACUUUACAAUGCUGGCAACAGCGAUAAGGGAACCUCGAGUGCCAGGUUACAAAUCUGGCUGUCGAGAUGCCUAAAAAGCAUUUCAUAGCAAGGGCCGGGCAAGACCGGUGCCAGCCGCCGCGGUAACACCGGCGGCUCGAGUGGUAACCGUUAUUAUUGGGUCUAAAGGGUCUGUAGCCGGCCGGAUAAGUCUCUUGAGAAAUCUGGCAGCUUAACUGUCAGGCUUUCAGGAGAUACUGUCUGGCUCGAGGCCGGGAGAGGUGAGAGGUACUUCAGGGGUAGGGGUGAAAUCUUGUAAUCCUUGAAGGACCACCAGUGGCGAAGGCGUCUCACCAGAACGGACCUGACGGCAAGGGACGAAAGCUAGGGGCACGAACCGGAU
rnacentral:rRNA from 1 species